rnacentral:lncRNA from 12 species
GGAAGAUUCAUGUACGCAGUUCACCAUCUUUUGGUACAUCAGAUCAUCUUACUCAGCAAUUAACGCCCAAUCCAAACAACGAGGGCAGUUUCCAAGGGAGCCGUGCUGUGAGCGCAGGGACACGCUGACAUCGUCAGGCACGUGGGGAUCAGCAUCUGCAGGACUUCAGCGCUCCUUGGCCACCGCGUCAGGGGCGACCCCGCUCCGUAUUCUGCCGGCUUGCUGGAGCUGCAGCUGCAAUCCUGUAUGGGGCGCUCACUAACCUUUAUUUUUGGCUUCUCAUAACUUUGGGGUAAAUGGUUUAGUUGGUCCUUUAGUUCAGCCUAAAGGUGCAAAAGGCAGCAGCAAAUGUAAUUUCGUUAAUAUGAAAAUGGCUUGGUACAUCUCUGCGUCAUCCAUGGAACUGGCUACAAACCAUACUGUGAUGCUCUUAACCUUUUCAGCAAGAUGAGAGACAC